rnacentral:rRNA from 1 species
CACCUAAAAGCUAGCCCCCCCCCCCCAAACACAAAAAACAACUAUUAAUACCCCCAAACGACCCCAAUUUAACAAAACAAACCAUUUUUCCCCCUUAGUACAGGCGAUAGAAAAGGACCCUAAGAGCUACAGAAAAAGUACCGUAAGGGAAUGCUGAAAAAGAAAUGAAACAACCCAGCAAAGUAUGAAAAAGCAAAGAUUAAAACUUGUACCUUUUGCAUCAUGAUUUAGCUAGAAAAGAUUAGGCAAAGAGCCCUUCAGUCUAACACCCCGAAACUAGACGAGCUACUCCAAGACAGCCUUAUAGGGCACACCCGUCUCUGUGGCAAAAGAGUGGGAAGAACUUUGAGUAGAGGUGACAAACCUACCGAGUCUAGUAAUAGCUGGUUGCCCGAGAACUGAGUUUAAGCUCAGCUUUUUGAUUUCUUACCUCAACUCCGCACUAGCGAAACCGACCCCAAGAAAUCAAAAAAGUUAAUCAAAAGAGGUACAGCUCUUUUGAUAAAAGAAACAACUUUUUAAGGAGAAUAAGGAUCAUAAUAACCAAGGCCACAUGCUUAAGUGGGCCUAAAAGCAGCCACCCAAUAGAAAGCGUUAAAGCUCAAGCAUACCCCCGCCACCAAUACCGAUAGCCCAUCCUAACCCCUAGCCCCUACCGGGCCUUUCUAUGCCAACAUAGAAGAGAUCAUGCUAAUAUGAGUAAUAAGGGGCCUGCCCCCCUCCAGACACAAGUGUACCCCAGAACGAACCCCCGCCGAAAAUUAACGAGCCCAAUCAAAGAGGGUAGUGGGAACUAAACCAAACAACAAGAAAAACACCCACCAACUCCCCGUUAACCCCACACUGGUGUGUCCAAACGGAAAGACUAAAAGAAAAAGAAGGAACUCGGCAAACCCCAGCCUCGCCUGUUUACCAAAAACACCGCCUCUUGCAAAAACAAUGAAUAAGAGGUCCCGCCUGCCCUGUGACUAUAAGUUUAACGGCCGCGGUAUUUUGACCGUGCAAAGGUAGCGCAAUCACUUGUCCUUUAAAUGAGGACCUGUAUGAAUGGCACGACGAGGGCCAAACUGUCUCCUUUUUCAAGUCAAUGAAAUUGAUCCCCCCGUGCAGAAGCGGGGAUAAAAACAUAAGACGAGAAGACCCUAUGGAGCUUUAGAUAUAAAACAGCCCAUGUCAAAUCACCACAUAAAAGAAAUAAACCAAAUGGCCCCUGUUUGAAUAUCUUUGGUUGGGGCGACCGCGGGGAAACAAAAAACCCCCAUGUGGAAUAAAAACACCCUUUUUAAAACCAAGAGCCACCACUCAAAUAAACAGAAUCUCUGACCAACCCGAUCCGGACCCCCCGAUCAACGAACCGAGUUACCCUAGGGAUAACAGCGCAAUCUUCUUUUAGAGCCCAUAUCGACAAGAAGGUUUACGACCUCGAUGUUGGAUCAGGACAUCCUAAUGGUGCAGCCGCUAUUAAGGGUUCGUUUGUUCAACGAUUAAAGUCCUACGUGAUCUGAGUUCAGACCGGAGCAAUCCAGGUCAGUUUCUAUCUAUGAAGUGAUCUUUUCCAGUACGAAAGGACCGAAAAGAAAAGGCCUCUACUAAAGGUACGCCUUACUCUCACCCCCUGCCCCCAACUAAAGGGGGCAAGAGAGCACAAAAAUCAGCUAAAGAACAUAACAU